rnacentral:miRNA from 1 species
GGGAGGUGUGGCGUACGGA